GAUGAACGCUGGCGGCGUGCCUAAUACAUGCAAGUCGAGCGAACGGACGAGAAGCUUGCUUCUCUGAUGUUAGCGGCGGACGGGUGAGUAACACGUGGAUAACCUACCUAUAAGACUGGGAUAACUUCGGGAAACCGGAGCUAAUACCGGAUAAUAUUUUGAACCGCAUGGUUCAAAAGUGAAAGACGGUCUUGCUGUCACUUAUAGAUGGAUCCGCGCUGCAUUAGCUAGUUGGUAAGGUAACGGCUUACCAAGGCAACGAUGCAUAGCCGACCUGAGAGGGUGAUCGGCCACACUGGAACUGAGACACGGUCCAGACUCCUACGGGAGGCAGCAGUAGGGAAUCUUCCGCAAUGGGCGAAAGCCUGACGGAGCAACGCCGCGUGAGUGAUGAAGGUCUUCGGAUCGUAAAACUCUGUUAGUAGGGAAGAACAUAUGUGUAAGUAACUGUGAACAUCUUGACGGUACCUAAUCAGAAAGCCACGGCUAACUACGUG
rnacentral:rRNA from 1 species